UACGUAGGGGGCUAGCGUUGUCCGGAAUCAUUGGGCGUAAAGAGCGUGUAGGCGGCCCGGUAAGUCCGCUGUAAAAGUCAAAGGCUCAACCUUUGAAUGUCAGUGGAUACUGCCGGGCUAGAGUCCGGAAGAGGCGAGUGGAACUCCUGGUGUAGCGGUGGAAUGCGCAGAUAUCAAGUGGAACACCAGUGGCGAAGGCGAGUCCCUGGACACUUCCUGACACUGAGGCACGAAAGCUAGGGGAGCAAACAGG
rnacentral:rRNA from 1 species